rnacentral:sRNA from 1 species
UUUAUUUGAUAGGAAAAUUUAAAAUGCUAAAGGAAAAAUUUUCUUAGCAAUUUCACAGGAAAACCUGUUUUAAGAGAGGGUAUCAUUCUAACUGGGAACUGAACUAUUAUGACUAGGUCUAUAAUUUAAUAACAAGUCACAAUAUUUCUCUUUCUUGACAUCAAUUUAAGAGUGACUUUUCACAUAGUAGAGAGAAUGGCUUCAGUUAUACCUGCCUCCAAUAGUUCCAUGAGAUCUGACAGGAAUACAUAUGUUGGAAAAAGGUUUGUUCACGUUAAAAAUCCUUACUUGGAUUUGAUGGAUGAAGACAUUCUCUAUCACUUGGAUUUGGGAACAAAAACACACAACCUACCAGCAAUGUUUGGAGAUGUAAAGGCCAAGGCCGACUAGAUGGAGCACUGUGUUCCUUUUCCAGAGAAAAAAAGUUAGACUACUUAAAGAGAGCAUAUAAAGCUGGUGUCAGGAAUAUUGAAAUGGAAUCUACAGUGUUUGCAGCUAUGUGUGGACUCUGUGGUCUAAAAGCUGCUGUGGUCUGUGUGACACUUCUCGACAGACUCGACUGUGAUCAGAUCAACUUGCCUCAUGAUGUCCUGGUGGAGUACCAGCAACGGCCUCAGCUCCUAAUCUCCAACUUCAUCAGACGGCGGCUUGGACUUUGUGACUAGACGUCCUAACUGGGCAGCCCAACCCUCCCCUGCAAGUUUGUAGCUCAAGUUGUAAUGUGAAAGUCAUAUUUUAUUUGUGGCAUUUUUAUAUAGUUCUCAUCCACAUGCUAAAUGGAAAGACUUUAUGAAAUCCUUCUCUCUUAAAAAGGAAUUUAUUGUAAAAGAAUACUCACACUAAAUUAAAUUCAAAUUUCAUUUUAGAAUAAGUUAACUAAAUCAGUCUAAUAAUUAAAAUUUUAAAACUCCUGGAUUAUGACAUUUGGAGUUUCAUAUGCAGCAUUAAUUAAGCUCACAUCAAAAUAGACCAGCCAUUUGCAGAUAGUUACCAGUCACUCUG